ACCAGCCUUCCCAGGGUUUUGUGGAGGUCUCCCACCGUGGGUGUUUUUUCCUCUCCUGCCCCAGGUGGCAGAAUGUAGGAAAGGAUAGAAUCUCCUCAGUCGUGCAGACUAGAGCUUGUCCCGGUUUCCAGAGAGAGACCCUUGUUCCUAUCAUUUCUAAGAAGGGUCUGAGUGGUGACUGGAGAGUUAUAGGCCAGUGAAUUCUACUUCUAAACCUGGAAAUCUAGCAUUCUAUAGAAGUUUAAGAUAAAUAGUACUUACAUAAACAGCCUGCCGGAGGGAAGACAGCAUGAUUCCGGAAAAAGGAAAUAUGCCUCAUUAAUCUACUGGAGCUCUUUGAGGGGGUUAAAACAUAUGAAUAGAGGGAAAUCAGUGGGAAUAUAUAUUUACAUUUUCAAAUGGCUUUUUAUAAAGGUUCACGCCAAAGGCUUAAAUAAUGAGUAAUCAUGGAUUGGAAAAGAAUGUUCUGCCAUUGAUAGAAAGCUGGAUAAGAGCUAGAAAACCGAGGAUAAGGAUAAACUACCGCUUUUCAAGAUGGAGAAGGGUUACAGAACUCACUGUACUUUCUCUGCCUCCUGUUACCCCAUCGUUGGAUAGACAUCAAGGAUAGAAAUGUUCAGCCCAAAGGAACAUUGAAGAAAGAGAUGAAGUGAUCGAAGCCCAGAAUGAAUCUGAAUUGCAAAAUAAUAAGCAGUAUUGAAGAUGGCUUUACAAUGUCAUAAAAUCUGCAUAUUUAGUGGAGAACCCAAUUUAAGCUCUUACACUGGGUAGCCCACCAAUUGCCACCAUUUCUCCCUUUCUUAACCUAGUGGAACUUUUAAAUCUUGAAUUGCUUUUCCAGUCUUUCCUUUAACAGCCCCUGAAAUGGUUGAAAGGUGAAGAAUGCAUAUUCCCCUUCAGACUGCAAACUCCUUGAAGAUUUGCAGACAGCCAUAAUUUCCAGCCUUUUGUUUGACAAUGAAGGCCUGCCUGGAAAAAUUGAAGGUGUUGCCAGGUUUACAAAAUGACAUUUUUAUAGCAAACUAUAUUCUUCACUCCAUCUUCCCAUCUUUGGGGGAAGAAACAUCCCUCAGAAGAAGAGAACCCACUUUAGAAAACGGGAGAGCGUGGGUGCUCCAAAGCAGAAGGUGAUAAAUGUUUUCUCAGCUGGGAAGAGCAUGUGAGUGUGUGUGUGUGUUUGUGUGUGUUUAUGCACGUGUGUGUAUACAUGUAUGCAUUUGGGGAUCUGCCUUUCAAGUCUGUGUUCCUCUGUAGAAUAAUUUGAGAAACUCAAAUAAUUUUACAGAGCAUUUUGGAGAAGGCAAUUGAAAGUCAGCCUUCACAGAAAAUAGCUGGAAGACUGUAGGAAACAGCUGAAUUUUGAAUUUUGCUUCAGUUUUUCAAAUUUGCUCUCAUUUCAAAGCAAACCCUGGACCGUAAACCUGUUGGCAGAUGAGUCUAUUAAUCAUCCAUCAAACCUUUAAUAGAUACACAAUCUGUAAUUAUGGAUUGCUGAAGACAUGCUGCUAAUGAGAGACUGACGCAUGCUUGGUGAAAAAUAAUUGCUGUUUGAUUUAGCGAACGCUAAACAACUAAAGGCAGGUAGUUCUUGCCAAAUUAUGCACUAACUUUUGCAAAGCGAUUAAAGAACCAGGAACUUCAAGAGAUCUAAAGGCAACGAUGUUGGAGUGGGGACUGUGGGACAGGGUAAGAGAGGAGAUUCUGAAAAGUAAAAAUGGGUAUUCAGUUUGGUUCAGUCACCCCAUUUUACAUAGGUUAGUCUACGCUUUUUGUAGUUCCUGUUUUCUGAAGUCCCGUGAAAGGGUGUCAGGAGGGGUUGGAAAGUCAGUAGCCCCAGCAGCAGCCUAGCAGCAGGAAUAUGGACAAGUGGAGGGGAAGUCACCAGCCUAGAGAAGCAGUGUGGCUUAGUGGAAA